UUACGAGAUGCCUGAAUAUGGCCUGCUGUUGCUCCCAGUAACUGGUACUGCCACUGAAGACAGGCAUUUCAUGUUCCAGAGAGUCUCAUAGAUUGCAUACUAAGUAUCAAGGCUUUACUCUUCAUAAUGAAUUUACACUGAGCAGAAAUUGGUUGAUAAUCGGAUAGAACAAUAUAUCUAACUAGAGACUAUAUUUAUCUCUCUCUUUUUUCACUCACUGCACACACCUCAGAGCAGCUAGGUUUACAUCUGCUAUUUGCCACAGUAGUCUUAUUCUUGCAGAUCUGCUGUAAUGACCUGUAAAUGGUAUCAUCCAAGCCAUCAGAUUAGCUCAUCAUUACUAAUAAAUGACAAAGCGUGUUGGAACCUAAGCCAAGGUUUUCCUUGCUGUUAUUUUACUACCAUACUAACAACAACCUAUUACAACAUUAGUCAUAUCUCAAGAUCAGUCUUGUAACUAGCUAUUUUUGUUCUAUAUUCAGAACAGGCUCCAUACUCUCCCCCCCCCCCAUUAGGCCCACCACACAGAUUCAAAAUGACUGUCCUGCCUUCUCAAAGGUUAUAUUGCUAUUAUUAUGUCCUUUUAACGAAAUCAGCAUUGAUUUGGGACAGGAAGAGAUUAAAGAGUGUACAUGGUUUCCUUUCGUACCAUUAUAGCUCAUGAACAGCUGGUGUGUUAUCAUUAAGGGUGUUUGACUAGAUAGUAACCAAAUGAGCAGAAAUUUCAGGUUCAAAUCUCCCCGAAACCACUAAGAUCAGUGGGAAAGCUCUCUCUCUCUCUCUCUCUGACCUCAGAUGAUUGAUAUGAGGAUGAAUGCACAAAUACCAUAUUCCUCCUCCUCACUUGGGGGGAAAGGCAGGAUAAAAAGGUAAUAAAAUGUUUGCAUCAAAAUGAAUGCCUGCUUCAAAGAGCCAUGCACUUAAACUAGUCUGGUUCUUCUUCCUUAAAUAAAUAUACCACAGAAUUUAAUAUAAAGCAUUAAACCAUUACAUCCCCCAGAAGUACAUAACAAAACCACCAUCCGCAGAGCUUAAAGGUCAGAAGCAAAGUGGGCAUUAAGUAUCUACUCUCAGUUCAAUGUGGUUUACAUUUCUUGUUCUUUACUUUACAGUACUUUUAUUGAGCAGUCCAGGCUACUCCCAUAUUCAAUCAAUUUCUUCCUGUCUUGACUUCAGUUUAUUUAUAGAUUUAAAGUUAGCAGUCCCCAUGUCUAACUGGGCUUUUAGCUUUUCAUUUAACUUCUUUACUUAAGAAAAGGUGGAAAUCUAUAGUCAUACACUCCUAAAAACAGUAUGUGAAACUUUGCAAGAGGAUCUGUCUACUAAGCCAGCGAUGACUCAUUGCUACCACAUUCCAUUGUCAAAUCCUUCUUCCUUACUUCUUCCGUCACAUAAUGCACACCUUUAUAAAGUAUUGUGAAAGAGCACCUACACAAAACACUUUCUAUUCAUCAAUGUAGACCGUUAACAAAAUAUUGCAGUGUAUUUGCACUCCCUAAGGGUCUCUCCAUACAUCCUUUCUGUUGCACAUUCAUGACGAUUUGUGCUCAUGAUGCUAAUGGGGCAGUCACAUGUGAUCCCGCUUUCAAUACUUGUUUGCACCUGCAAAAGUUUUGGGAUGGUCACACAAUUUCAUUCCCAAUCAGUGCAUAGACUUUGUGCUGAAAUUCCGCAACCUUUUAUAACGCUAAUGCUCUGUUUAUUUUUGUCCUGCUUUUGUUGUGCUAUAGCCACUAUGAACAAUAUUAAUGUGGUAGCACAACAAACCAAAGCAAAAUAAAUCACCAUUAAUGCACUAUCAAGCUGGUUAAUUCACCUCUUCCUACGACUUUUUGUUUUUUCUUUUCUUUUCCACUGCACUCAAUAUUCCAUGGUUUGCCCCCUCGGGAUUUCCCCCCACUCUAAAGAUUUAUGCUUCUGCCUCACUGCUGUGCAGACAUUGCAUAUAAUUGUGUAUGUGUGUGUGCGCGCGCACACGCACGUGCACACACAUCACUUGAGUUGAGUGAGUUUAUGGAUUUCAGCAGCAGCACACGUGCCUAUCUGCACAUGGUGCCCUCUCUUUUCCCUCUCCAGCACAAGAUCCAGAAAAUCAAAGGAGCACAGACAGGCAUCACGGCUGUAGCAGAAUCUUGACAGGCACACACAUUAAACAAUUUCAGUGAUAAAGAUAAUAAAAACGUACUUGCAGCUUAAAAAAAAAUACUUGCAAAGACUAGCAUAUUAUACCUUUUAUCUAUCAAAUACUUUUAAAAGAGAAAUAUACAAGUGUACAUGAAUCUUACAAUGCCAUUAAAAUGUGGUGGUGGUGAUUUUCUAAAUACAAAGAAGCUCUGUUUUUAUUGGGCUGCUGAACAGGGUAGUUUAUUUGUAUAAUUCAUAUCCAUCAAGACCAGAUUUGAAUUUCCAAAAGUUGUAGUGUGUUUUUUAAAGAAAACCUUGAUAAUCACUCAUGCCUAUAGGCAGUGCUUUUUUUCUAAAAAAAUAUUUAGGGGUACUCUCAUUUUCCUACUCAUACUGAAAUACUGCCCCUCAAUGAGGCCAAACUUAGAUUCACAAAAUGUUUAGGGGUAUGCAUACCCCUGUGUCCCCCCAGGAAAAAAAGCACUGACUAUAGGGGUUAAACCAGUGUCUCCUUUAAGGAUAGGGACAGGAGGAAGCUAACUGAGUUAGUUAGUUUACUCAUAAGUGCAGCACUCACAAAUGGCAAAGGUAGGAAGUUGGCUUCACCCACACAACUGCGGAAUAAAGAGAGACUGUGGCUUUAUUCUAGGAAGGGCUUUUUAGAAGCUGAACUGUAUUUCAACUCCCUGUCAAUAUAAUUGGCUCCAUAGUAUCAUGUAAUCACACAAAUCGAUAGUCUGCCAUUUCACAUGCUUGUCGUUAUGAACAGAAUCUUUCUUUUCUUCUCCACAGCAAGCAUAUUAGCUUUUCUAUUGUGAAGUAAAAUCUGCAUGUUGUGAAACCCUGUGGCUGCCCCCAAAAGUCAAGGCACUGAAAGUAGAUUUAAAGCCGAUGAUUAGAUGUGAUACAAUCACCACAGAAAAGCAAGAUAUGAAAAAUGAAGAUGCCGUAAAAAUGACUCACGGAUGAAUUAUUUAUCACACUGGUGAUCUUGAAGUCCAUUAAUAGCUAUAGGUCCACAAAGUAUCUGAAAUUACUCAAAGUGACAGUCUUAGAGCAAUUCUGUAUAACUAGAAAUGAAUCUAUGGACACCAAAAGACAUCAGCAGACAUUUUUAAGUGAAGUGUGUUUGGCGGCCGUCAACAAGCUACUGAACUUUUCCAUAAUACUACUAAAUGAAGCUUAUACCCUUCAAGAAUUGAUGUAUGCUUUUAGUGCCGCCUUCUUCAAAUAGUUGUCUGAAGUGUUGUCUGUAAGCCAGGCACUAUCCAAAGUACAGCCAGACUUUCUUUGUAAUAGGAUAC